rnacentral:rRNA from 1 species
GACGAACGCUGGCGGCGUGCUUAACACAUGCAAGUCGAACGAAGUGGCGAACGGGUGAGUAACGCGUAAUCAACCUGCCCAUCAGAGGGGGACAAAAGUUGGAAACGACGGCUAAUACCGCAUACUGAAGGAGGGGAUUGCGUCUGAUUAGCUAGUUGGGGGGGAACGGCCCACCAAGGGGAUGAUCAGUAGCCGGUCUGAUAGGAUGAACGGGCACAUUGGGACUUAGACACGGCCCAGACUCCUACGGGAGGCAGCAGUGGGGAAGUUUCCGCAAUGGACGAAAGUCUGACGGAGCAACGCCGCGUGAGUGAUGACGGCCUUCGGGUUGUAAAGCUCUGUUAAUCGGGACGCGGUACCGGAAUAGAAAGCCACGGCUAACUACGUGCCAGCAGCCGCGGUAAUUC